UACGUAGGGUUCAAGCGUUAAUCGGAAUUACUGGGCGUAAAGCGUGCGCAGGCGUUUUUGUAAGUCUGUCGUGAAAGCCCCGGGCUCAACCUGGGAAUUGCGAUGGAGACUGCAAGGCUUGAAUCUGGCAGAGGGGGGUAGAAUUCCACGUGUAGCAGUGAAAUGCGUAGAGAUGUGGAGGAACACCGAUGGCGAAGGCAGCCCCCUGGGUCAAGAUUGACGCUCAUGCACGAAAGCGUGGGGAGCAAACAGG
rnacentral:rRNA from 1 species